AAAAAGACAAACUCUGGGUUUUUGUGUCCAACGUUUGACUGUCCAUCUUAUAUGAAAUUUUUUUAUAAUUACUAUUUUUAUUGUUGUUAGAUGAUAAAACAUGAUUAAUACUUUAUGCGUGACUUGUCUUUUUUUUAUAAUUUUUUAAAAUAAGACGGACGGUCAAACGUUGGACACGGAAAUCCAGGGUUUUUCUUUUU
rnacentral:pre_miRNA from 1 species